rnacentral:tRNA from 1 species
CAACAAAUAUUUUAAGAGAAGAUAUUAAUUUUGGGUAUUAAAGAUGUGUUAAUUUUCACUUUGUUGA